rnacentral:rRNA from 1 species
CAAUAGCGUAUAUUAAAGUUGUUGCAGUUAAAACGCUCGUAGUCGGAUUUCGGGGCGGGCCGACCGGUCUGCCGAUGGGUAUGCACUGGCCGGCGCGUCCUUCCUUCCGGAGACCGCGCCUACUCUUAGCUGAGCGGGCGCGGGAGACGGAUCGUUUACUUUGAAAAAAUCAGAGUGUUUCAAGCAGGCAGCUCGCUCUUGCAUGGAUUAGCAUGGGAUAAUGAAAUAGGACUUUGGUGCUAUUUUGUUGGUUUCGAACACCGAAGUAAUGAUUAACAGGGACAGUCAGGGGCACUCGUAUUCCGCCGAGAGAGGUGAAAUUCUCAGACCAGCGGAAGACGAACCACUGCGAAAGCAUUUGCCAGGGAUGUUUUCACUGA